CCAGAUCAUAGAAUCUAAAGAAUUGUUAAUCUUGGCGUCACUUGUUCAGCUUCCUAUGCAAUCAUCAUCUUGAUUCAGUAACUGGCAAAGUAUUUUAACAAUUUUACUGUAUUUUGCGUCAUUCUGAUUUCUCUGCGGAAACAAAGUAUACACUUAAAAGUUUUUGUACUUACUGAAGAUGGACAUUAUCCAAACACAUACACAUUAUUUUUUACAUCCAGGGGCAUCUUCAGAAAGUUGCAUUAUGAGAAAUGCCACCAGGUUCCUUAAAACAAUCCAGUGAAGGACCCAC